UACGUAGGGUGCGAGCGUUGUCCGGAAUUAUUGGGCGUAAAGAGCUCGUAGGCGGUGUGUCGCGUCGGCCGUGAAAACCUGGGGCUCAACUCUGGGCGUGCGGUCGAUACGGGCAUCACUGGAGUUCGGCAGGGGAGACUGGAAUUCCUGGUGUAGCGGUGAAAUGCGCAGAUAUCAGGAGGAACACCGGUGGCGAAGGCGGGUCUCUGGGCCGAUACUGACGCUGAGACGCGAAAGCUAGGGGAGCGAACAGG
rnacentral:rRNA from 1 species